AUUGAACGCUGGCGGCAGGCCUAACACAUGCAAGUCGAGCGGAUGAAGAGAGCUUGCUCUCUGAUUUAGCGGCGGACGGGUGAGUAAUGCCUAGGAAUCUGCCUGGUAGUGGGGGAUAACGUUCCGAAAGGAACGCUAAUACCGCAUACGUCCUACGGGAGAAAGCAGGGGACCUUCGGGCCUUGCGCUAUCAGAUGAGCCUAGGUCGGAUUAGCUAGUUGGUGAGGUAAUGGCUCACCAAGGCUACGAUCCGUAACUGGUCUGAGAGGAUGAUCAGUCACACUGGAACUGAGACACGGUCCAGACUCCUACGGGAGGCAGCAGUGGGGAAUAUUGGACAAUGGGCGAAAGCCUGAUCCAGCCAUGCCGCGUGUGUGAAGAAAGUCUUCGGAUUGUAAAGCACUUUAAGUUGGGAGGAAGGGCAGUAAGCUAAUACCUUGCUGUUUUGACGUUACCGACAGAAUAAGCACCGGCUAACUCUGUGCCAGCCGCCGCGGUAAUAC
rnacentral:rRNA from 1 species